rnacentral:lncRNA from 1 species
GAUCCCGUCAACCACCCUUGCUAGCACAACAGCCUAGCCCAGAUCGGCAUUCGUCUCCCUCUCCAGACCGGCCCCAGCACUACCGCCAGCCAAAUCCACGGGCCUCACCUCACUGGCCAGACCUCCAUAUCCUUCUUACGGCCUCUUGCCCAGCAUGCACAUAGCCUUCGAUCAAGCCCUACCCGCACGGCCUCGCCUGCGCAGAUCCCAGCAGCCACAGCCCGGCCUCGACAUCCCUCUAGACCGGCUUCUAGCCUGCUCUACCCGCCUGACAGCAGCUCCGCGUCACUCGCUCAACGCGCGUCCUCCAGCGUAGCAGCCCCUUAGAGCGCCUCCUAGCCCAGCGCACGGCCUCACUCGUCGCUGCUACACGCCCAGCGAAUCCCGUCGCUCCCACCUGCAACCGAGCC